rnacentral:rRNA from 1 species
UACGUAGGCAGCAAGCGUUGUUCGGAUUCACUGGGCGUAAAGGGUGCGUAGGUGGUGAGGUAAGUCGGAUGUGAAAGCUCGGAGCUCAACUCCGAAAUGGCAUUGGAAACUACCUUGCUCGAGGGUUGGAGGGGGGACUGGAAUACUUGGUGUAGCAGUGAAAUGCGUAGAUAUCAAGUGGAACACCAGUGGCGAAGGCGAGUCCCUGGACAACUCCUGACACUGAGGCACGAAAGCUAGGGGAGCAAACAGG